UAUUAUUAUUAUUAUUAUUAUUAUUAUGGGAUCCCGUCUGAUCUCGGAAGCUAAGCAGUCCCGGGCCCGGCUAGUACCUGGAUGGGAGACCGCCUGGGAAUCCCGGGUGCCGUAGGCC
rnacentral:rRNA from 1 species